UAGACGGAUGCUCACAGGUUAGGGCACUUAGCUGUUAACUAAGAGUUUGAAGGAUCGAGGCCUUCUCGUCUAG
rnacentral:tRNA from 1 species